GUCUCGGUAGUGUAAGGGAUAAGGGCACGGUCCCUGUAAAGGACAAGUACGGGUUCGAGUCCCGUCCGAGACU
rnacentral:tRNA from 1 species